AUGGGGCCGAGCAGAGGCAGCCUGGUCGCCACUGUGGCGGUGCUCCACCUGCUGCUGCUCGCUCCGAGCAUGGCAGCGGCGUUCAACUACGCAGACGCGCUCGCCAAGUCCAUCAUCUUCUUCGAGGGCCAGCGCUCCGGCAAGCUGCCCCCCGGCAACCGCAUGCCGUGGCGCGCCGACUCCGGCCUCGCCGACGGCGCGCAGUACAAUGUGGAUCUGGUCGGCGGGUACUACGACGCGGGCGACAACCUCAAGUUCGGGCUGCCGAUGGCCUUCUCGACGACGAUGCUGGCCUGGAGCGUCGCCGACUUCGGCAAGUUCAUGGGCGCCGAGCUGCCAAACGCCAGGGCCGCCGUGCGCUGGGGCGCCGACUACCUCCUCAAGGCCGCCACCGCCACCCCCGGCGCGCUCUAUGUCCAGGUCGGCGAGCCGGGACGCGACCACGCAUGCUGGGAGCGGCCGGAGGACAUGGACACGCCCCGCAGCGUCUACCGCGUCGACGCCAACAAACCGGGCUCCGACGUCGCCGGCGAAACGGCCGCGGCGCUGGCAGCGUCCUCGAUCGCGUUCCGCCGCUCCGACCCCGCCUACGCCUCCCGCCUGCUCCACGCCGCCAUGGAGGUGUUCGACUUCGCCGACCGGCACCGCGGCUCCUACAGCGACUCCCUCAGCUCCGAGGUCUGCCCGUUCUACUGCUCCUACUCGGGCUACCACGACGAGCUCCUGUGGGCGGCGUCGUGGCUGCACCGCGCGUCAAACAACGCGUCGUACAUGACGUACGUGGAGGCGUACGGCAUGCAGCUCGGCGCCGGCGACGACGACUACUCCUUCAGCUGGGACGACAAGAGGGUCGGCACCAAGGUGCUGCUCUCCAGGGGGUUCCUGCGGCGCAAGCUGCAGGGGCUGCAGCUCUACAAGGCUCACUCCGACAGCUACAUCUGCUCGCUCGUCCCCGGGACGAGCAGCUUCCAGGCUGGCCAGUACACGCCGGGAGGGCUCAUCUACAAGGAGGGCGAGAGCAACAUGCAGUACGUGACGACGGCGACGUUCCUGCUGCUCGCCUACUCCAAGUACCUCAAGUCCAGCGGCGCCACCGUGUCAUGCGGCGGCGGCGUCGUGUCGCCGGCCGACCUGGUGGCGCUGGCGAAGCGGCAGGUGGACUACAUCCUGGGGAAGAACCCGGCGGGGAGGUCGUACAUGGUCGGGUUCGGGGCGCGCUACCCGGAGCGCGCGCACCACCGGGGCGCGUCCAUGCCGUCGGUGCGCGCGCACCCGGGCCGCAUCGGCUGCGACGCCGGGUUCCAGUACCUGCACGCCGGCGGGGCCAACCCGAACGUGCUCGUGGGCGCCGUGCUGGGCGGGCCGGACUCGAGGGACGGCUUCGACGACGACCGCGGCAACUACGCGCAGUCCGAGCCCGCCACCUACAUCAAUGCGCCGCUCGUCGGCGCCCUCGCCUUCUUUGCCGGAACCACCAGGAAGUAG
rnacentral:rRNA from 1 species